GGACAGGUGGCCGAGUGGUUGAAGGCGCACGCCUGGAAAGCGUGUAUACGCUAACACGUAUCGCGGGUUCGAAUCCCGCCCUGUCCG
rnacentral:tRNA from 1 species